rnacentral:rRNA from 1 species
GACGAACGCUGGCGGCGUGCUUAACACAUGCAAGUCGAACGGAAAGGCCCUGCUUUUGUGGGGUGCUCGAGUGGCGAACGGGUGAGUAACACGUGAGUAACCUGCCCUUGACUUUGGGAUAACUUCAGGAAACUGGGGCUAAUACCGGAUAGGAGCUCCUGCUGCAUGGUGGGGGUUGGAAAGUUUCGGCGGUUGGGGAUGGACUCGCGGCUUAUCAGCUUGUUUGUGGGGUAGUGGCUUACCAAGGCUUUGACGGGUAGCCGGCCUGAGAGGGUGACCGGCCACAUUGGGACUGAGAUACGGACCAGACUCCUACGGGAGGCAGCAGUGGGGAAUAUUGCACAAUGGGCGGAAGCCUGAUGCAGCAACGCCGCGUGCGGGAUGACGGCCUUCGGGUUGUAAACCGAUUUCGACUGUGACGAAGCGUGAGUGACGGUAAUGGGUAAAGAAGCACCGGCUAACUACGUG